rnacentral:rRNA from 1 species
UACGAAGGGGGCUAGCGUUGCUCGGAAUCACUGGGCGUAAAGGGUGCGUAGGCGGGUCUUUAAGUCAGGGGUGAAAUCCUGGAGCUCAACUCCAGAACUGCCUUUGAUACUGAAGAUCUUGAGUUCGGGAGAGGUGAGUGGAACUGCGAGUGUAGAGGUGAAAUUCGUAGAAUAUUCGCAAGAACACCAGUGGCGAAGGCGGCUCACUGGCCCGAUACUGACGCUGAGGCACGAAAGCGAUGGGGAGCAAAC